UACGGAGGAUGAGAGCGUUAUCCGGAUUUAUUGGGUUUAAAGGGUGCGUAGGCGGACGCUUAAGUCAGCGGUAAAAUUGCGGGGCUCAACCUCGUCGAGCCGUUGAAACUGGGUGCCUUGAGUGGGCGAGAAGUACGCGGAAUGCGUGGUGUAGCGGUGAAAUGCAUAGAUAUCACGCAGAACUCCGAUUGCGAAGGCAGCGUACCGGCGCCCUACUGACGCCGAAGCACGAAGGCGUGGGUAUCGAACAGG
rnacentral:rRNA from 1 species